UGGGUGGUCCCUGCUUUGCAGGACCUCGAGCUCGAGGUGCUUCAUAGGGUGACGGAAGUUGGCGAUGGACGGAAGUGAAGGGGGGUGGGUGGGUGGGGGGCGGCACAUCCGACUAUUAGGACUGGUCCAAGACAAGCAAAAAGAUUUGUUUGUAUUUUACUAAUUUUCAAUGAUUGCGAAAUUUGGGGUUGUGGUAACAAUAUUUAACACGCUACUGUAAUUGAAGUUAAUGAUACAAAUACAAUUCACGUGUUGUUGUUGCUCAUACUUUGCCAUUACCAUACCUUUGUAAUUGUAUUGGUGGACACGAAACGCCUAACAUCUUCUAGACCUUUUCCUCAAGCUAAUCCUUUUGAUGUGUGAGAAAUUUAUUUUAUUUAUUUUUAAAUGAUGAAUCCCAAAACUAUGUGUAAAUUAAUUUUGUGCAGUUCUUUUACAUAAUAAUUUGAUUUAGUUUAAAUUUCAUCUACUUCUUACAUUAUUAUCAAUAUAACAUCAUAGGUGAAUUCAAUUUUUUUUCGGACGAAAUUAAAUUGUAUAUUUUUAUGAUAGUAAAAAUAUAAUUUUUAAUUUUAAUAGCCUAUAUCAUUAUAAUUUUUAAAGAUUUAAAUCAAAAUUUUAUCAUUUUUGAGGGGGUCAAAGUGUAAUUUUACUAUUACUAAUUUAAAAUUUCAUAAAUUAUAAUGGAGACAAAAAGAGAAAAUUUUCAUUUUAGGAGGAUCGGACCCUGUUAACCCCCUUGGCUCUGCUCUUGUAUAACACCAUUUUAUGUUUACAUAUUAUAUACACAAAUAAUUAUACUUAUCAAAUAUAAAUAUAAAUUGAUAUAUUCAUUUCUUUAAAUGUGAACAAUUAAUUCAAAACUAAAGUUUUAUAUAUUGUAAUCAAAAGAAAAGUUUAAUGUGUAUAAUCACACAAAAUUGAAGUUUAUAUAUCAAUUUGUGUAACACCCCUUACCCGUAUCCAACACCGGAAUAGGGUACGAG
rnacentral:lncRNA from 1 species